ensembl:snoRNA
AGCCUCCAGGCUGUGUUCUUCCACUGAAUGUAUAGAAAGAGGAGGCAGAGUAAGCCUACCGCAUCUACACCUCAGCCAGGCCCUAUGCCUGCUCUGUAUUAUGAAUGGGGAGACAUGG